rnacentral:snoRNA from 1 species
CCGGCUGAUGAGACCAAGGCGAAUGUGAUUCAUGCUGUCUGCCCCUUGGCUCCUGGGCUAGGGGGCUACAGAUGGGGUCUGGAAUCUUGGUGGGGACUCUGAGGCCUGCUCCCCAAGGUAAGGCUGGACCCAUAGGACUGCUGGCCUUGCCUUGCCUUCAAGGCUGCUGCUGCCUUGGCUCUAGUAGCAGCCUGCAGGGAGGCCCACAGGCAGGGCUGUGGGAGGGAUGGGCAGAAGCCACAUGAGCACAGCUUGGUUCUGACG